UACGUAGGGUGCGAGCGUUAAUCAGAAUUACUGGGCGUAAAGCGUGCGCAGGCGGUAAGUUAAGUCUGAUGUGAAAGCCCCGGGCUCAACCUGGGAAUGGCAUUGGAAACUGGCUUGCUGGAGUGUGGCAGAGGGGGGUGGAAUUCCGCGUGUAGCAGUGAAAUGCGUAGAGAUGCGGAGGAACACCGAUGGCGAAGGCAGCCCCCUGGGCCAACACUGACGCUCAGGCACGAAAGCGUGGGGAGCAAACAGG
rnacentral:rRNA from 1 species